CCCAACAGUGAUGACACAGAAGGCUCUGCAUGUGUCUGAAAAGAAUGUCCAGGGCUGCAGACUUGUCCUAGGCAUUAUAAUUGCUGCUUCCUUAUUCAUUGUCAUAGCUUACUGUUUUCAUCUGGGAAUACUUUCACACCUUUCCCACUGCCCAUUUUUCCAGUAGACUCCCGUCCUUAGGACAAUGAACAAUCAUGGAAGUCUCAGAAUGACCUAACGGUCAAUGACGGAAUUGUCUGAAACCCCGUUCUGCCCUCACAUUCAGCGACAUGCAUGUCCUGUGCAGGUCUGAGGAAAUGAAUCACGAGGUACCUACACUUGAACAGGACUUUUCUAAUGAAGGAAAGGGACCGAGGACCUCGUCCCUGGAGUACUUAUGAUGCAAAUUCCCUCCGGGUGCAACAGUGUGUGAAGAGCCAAGGGGAGGUGGCAGCUGUCUGGUGAGCAGUGACUGAAGGAUCUUGCUGCAUUCUUCACCCUACUCAAGUCCACCCCUUUGGCAAGAAGCUGCUGCAGUUUCCUGCCAAUUUGAGAGAGUAAAACUCAGACUGUAUUAUGGUUUAGAUCAAAAAUGUGCCCCUACAGUCUCAUGUGUCAGAGGUGGAGCUUUCAGAAGGUGAUGGGAAUGUGAGGGCUCUAACUGUCCCUGUGGACUGACCCACUGAAAGAGAGUAAUUUGAUAGAAUUGGUGAGAGCCUAUAGAAUUCAGGAGCUGAGUCCUAGUUGAGCGGAGUGGUCAUGGAGCCAUGACCCUAGGUACUAUAUCUUGUCCGUUACCCCUUCUUCUCUGGCUCUUAUCUUUUUUCUCUGCUCCUUGGCUUCCAAGAAGUGAGCAGCUUUUCUCUGUCACCCCCUGCUGUUGGGCUGUUUCUGCUUCACUAUCUAUAGGCUGAAAAGCAGCGGCGCCCACUGACCCUAGACUGAAAUCUUGAAAUCCUGAACUAAAACAAACUUUUCAUCUGUUAGGGUUAUUUUUUAGGUAUUUUGUAACAGGGACAGAAAACUGAAUACACAGAAUUCCAGAGAAUUGUUUUUGAAGUGGAAAAGAUGUCCUAACAUAUAAUAAUAGAUAAAACUACAGAAACAGUAGAUGCUUUUGUACCUGUAUAGGGCUGAAUUGAACUGUGAGAAAAAGGAGACUGACUGCUAACAGACACAAGGUUUCUUCAGUUGGGAUAAAAAUAUUCCAAGUUGAUUCUUGUGAUGAUUGCAUAAUUCUGUGAAUAUAAGAAAAACCAUUGCAUUACACAAUUGAAAUUGAUGAAUUACAUGGCACAUGAAUUAUAUUAACAUAAAGAUUUUAUUUAGAAUUUAAGACUUAAAGAGCAAAGAGACCUUGGGAGAAGAAAAAUGGGAACGCAUAUACAGGAGGUAUUUGUAACCUGCAUCUGAGACCCACUGCUCUGAGAUGUCCUUUGUGCAUUAUAAUUGACAUCUUUAGAAUUACUAAAGAAAGCUUUGUCCUAAUAUGUGAUUCCAAAAUUUUAACUUACCUCUGCCUGAAUUUUAUUCCUGUCAUCCCUACUGAAUUGGGUGGCAGGAAUGACUAGGUGUGUGUGUUUUUGUUUCACCUUUUAGUGAGU